GCCCUGGAGCUGCCUCGGGGUCCUCCUCUCCGGCUGGCCUCGUCGUCUCCUACCUCCGCUGGGAACGGGAUCCACGCUCAUGUGCCCCCCAGCUUCUCUUCUGGCCAGGAAAAAUGGCCUCGAUCCGACGAUUCCUCCUCUCACCGUCAUCCCCUUCUCUGUCAGUUGCCAUCCACCAUGGGGAGAGGGCAGAAACUCCCAGCACCAGUCUGUGUCAUUCGAGCGGUAAAGCCCCCUUGCAGUUUGUGACAUGUACGAGUGCAGUGCGUUAGUCGCGUUGGUGCAGCCCGCUGGCAUCCAGCAGGGGAUGCAGCUCUUCGGUGGGUGAAGUGCGGUCCACGACGAGCGCCAAUGCAGUGCUGUGCCCCACAGGAGGUGGCACCAUGGCCAUCUCAAUCUUGUCCCUGCGCCACACCAUGGAUCCCGUUCGAUAGCGAGCUCCCCGGCGACCAAGUGCUGCAGCCCACUUUUUUCUUUUUGCAAUUCGCAUGUUAAAGUUUCUUUUUGCAGUGUGUGUGAUGUUCGGUGUAAGCUCGAAUGAAGACACAGAUCAGUCCCCUAUGUUCUCUAAUGCAGAAAAAAGGAGGAAAAACCAAUUAUAGGAAAAGAAACAAAAGACUCGCUCUCCUGCAUGCACUUCGUUUAGAGUUUGAUUGAUGUCCUGUAUUGUGGGUCGUGGAGUUCGAUUGGGGCUCCCCUAGUAAAGUUCAUAAAAAAUUGUCCAUUGAGAUUUGCAGUGCAGUGCAUAGUAUAGAGGACUUUACUUUGUAAAAACUUCUAUAGAGGAGUUCAGUUUUUUCUUAUUUUUGGAAGAAUUCUUUUGCAAAUUUGUAUGGACAUAGUUUAUAAUUUGUGAAAAAUCGGAUGUUGAAAGCA